AUUGAACGCUGGCGGCAGGCCUAACACAUGCAAGUCGAAUGGUAACAGGAUACAGCUUGUUGUUUCACUGACGAGUGGCGGACGCGUGAGGAAUGUCUGCGAAACUGCCUGAUGGAGGGGGAUAACUACUGGAAACGGUAGCCAAUACCGCAUAACGUCGCAAGUUCAAAGAGGGGGGACUUUUGGUCUCUUGCCAUCAUAUGUGCCCAGAUGGGUUUAGCUAGGAGGUGGGGUAACGUCUCACCGAGGCGACGAUCCCUAGCUGGUCUGAGAGGAUGACCAGCAACCCUGGAACUGAGACACGGUCCAGACUCCUACGGGAGGCAGAAGUGGGGAAUAUUGCACAAUGGGCGCAAGCCUGAUGCAGCCAUGCCGCGUGGAUGAGGAAGGCCUUCGGGUUGUAAAGUACUUUCAGCGGGGAGGAAGGGAGUAAGGUUAAUACCUUUACUCAUUGACGUUACCCUAAGAAGAAGCACCGGCUAACUCCGUG
rnacentral:rRNA from 1 species